UCCCCGACAAUGUUGCCAUGAUUCUUUUAUUUAUUCUGUUCAUUCUUUUCCUGCCUAUUCAAGGAUAUAAACUGUCUUUCUUCACAGAAAUUUCCAAGGAAACUAUAUUUCAUACAUUGAUGGAAAUGUAUGGAAAGCAUACAGUUGGACCGAGAAACUAAAUCUGGGCUGCAAUUUAAUUACGGAACUGAGCCACGGAACAUUUCAGGCCUGGCACGGAAUGCAGUUUUUACACAACUUAAUUCUCAAUCGCAAUCCUCUGACUGCUGUCGAAGAUCCAUAUCUCUUUGAACUGCCGGCAUUAAAAUAUCU